rnacentral:lncRNA from 7 species
UGUGUAUAGCUGUAGCGUAGUGACGGUUUUUUUGUUUUGUUUUGUUUUGUUUUUGUUUCCUCCGAGAAUGUGCUUAAGUGCCCACGUUUUUCAUUUGCUAUUGUUAUAAGGCAGUAGAGUAGUAGUGAUCACGCUUGGCAGAGGUGAUUAGUUUUGUACAUCCUUUUGGUGGAUUUAAAUUAAAUUAGAUGCAGCGAAAAUUCGUUCCCCUGGU